AUGGUCAAUAUUUGGAAUGACCCAUGGGUCCCAGCUAGUCUGAAUAGAAGAAUUAUCACUGUCAGAGGACAAACGAUUGUGACACGGGUUAGUGAAUUGAUAGACCCUAUAAUAGGUACGUGGGAUGAGGAGUUAAUCAGGUCUAUAUUCAUACCGGUAGAUGUUCGCAGAAUCAUGCAAAUUCCUGUUAAUCUUCAAGCCUUUGAAGACUUCAUUGCGUGGCAUCCAGACCGAAAGGGACUAUUCAUAGUUCGGUCAGCGUAUCAUGUUCAGUGGAUACAAAAAUACAGGGCCCAUGCAAACACUAUGGCGCAGCCAGGAGGGUCCCAAAUCCCGGCUAUAUGGAGUUCUCUAUGGAAAUUACAAAUCCCACGUAAAGUCCAAAUAUUUUGUUGGCGGGUCCUGCAUGGAAUUAUCCCUUUAAAAGCUAUACUUACUAAUAGACAUAUUGGAUCUAAUGGAGCUUGUCCAAUCUGCCAUCAAGCUGCUGAGGAUGUUCGGCACCUCUUGUUCGAAUGUACGCAUGCCCAGGAGUUGUGGAGCAAGCUGGGAAUGCUCGAUACUAUUAAUGAAGCUAUCAUCGUUGACCAUUCAGGCUCGGCCAUUAUGGAAUAUCUAUUGCUACUACCGGCAAUGUCGUCACAUAUAAAACCACAAUUGGAUAUGAAGCAGAUUCUUGCUGUAGGGUGUUGCUACUUAUGGUGGAUCAGAAGGCAAAUUACUCACGAUGAAGCUACUCCACCCCCUACAAGAUGGCCCGUUUCUGUUUUAGCAAUUGCGAGUAAUUACCAACGUUCGUGUGUGCGGAAGCCUGAAGGAGGAGAACAUAAAUGGGUCAGACCCGAGCCAAAAUUCAUCAAACUUAAUGUUGACGCAGCAUAUCAUGAAGAUGAGGGUGCUGGUGCUACUUCUGCAGUUCUAACGGAUGGACAUGGUAAUCUGUUGGCGGCUCAAUGUGUCUAUGUCCCCUAUGCUGCAAAUGUGGUAACUAUGGAGGCAAUGGCUAUGCGCGAUGGAUUAAUUCUUGCAAACAACUUGGGACUUUACCGUGUAGAAGCGGAGUCAGAUUCCCUCAUCGUUGUAGAUUUUUGCACCGGUGAGUCACGUUGGUGGGAUGCUGCUUCAGCAAUCUUCGCGGAAUGUGUGGAUAUUAGUGUUUCUAUUGAAAAGGUUAAGUUUAAACAUUGUUUUCGGUCUGCUAAUCAAGCGGCUCAUGAGCUAGCUCAGUAUUGCUUUUGUAAUAAGAUCUCGAGUAGCUGGUCUGAGAAGCUCCCAGGUUGCCUCAUAGCUAAACUAGUGGACGAUGUACUGAUUAUUUGA
rnacentral:rRNA from 1 species